UAUUAAAAAAAAUUAUCUAUUUAUAUUGUUAAAAUUAGCGUAGCUAAUAGAAUAAUUAUAUAGUGACACGUGGCAUGCCAUGUAUAGCUCAUGUUGACAUACUAAUACCAGUUUUUAAUAGUAAAAAUUGAUAAAGAUUUUUAAUA
rfam:Gossypium arboreum cultivar AKA8401 contig_14_5, whole genome shotgun sequence.